UACGGGGGGGGCAAGCGUUGUUCGGAAUUACUGGGCGUAAAGGGCUCGUAGGUGGCCAACUAAGUCAGACGUGAAAUCCCUCAGCUUAACUGGGGAACUGCGUCUGAUACUGGAUGGCUUGAGUUUGGGAGAGGGAUGCGGAAUUCCAGGUGUAGCGGUUAAAUGCGUAGAUAUCUGGAGGAACACCGGUGGCGAAGGCGGCAUCCUGGACCAACACUGACACGGAUGAGCGAAAGCCAGGGGAGCAAACGGG
rnacentral:rRNA from 1 species